UACGUAGGGGGCAAGCGUUGUCCGGAUUCAUUGGGCGUAAAGAGCGUGUAGGCGGCCAGGUAGGUCGGUUGUGAAAACUGGAGGCUCAACCUCCAGACGUCGACGGAAACCGUGUGGCUAGAGUCCGGAAGAGGAGAGUGGAAUUCCUGGUGUAGCAGUGAAAUGCGUAGAGAUCAUGAGGAAGACCAGUGGCGAAGGCGGGUCUCUGGACAGUUCCUGACACUGAGACACGAAGGCCAGGGGAGCAAACGGG
rnacentral:rRNA from 1 species